UACGUAGGGUGCGAGCGUUAAUCGGAAUUACUGGGCGUAAAGCGUGCGCAGGCGGUGAUGUAAGGCCGAUGUGAAAUCCCCGGGCUAACCUGGGAACUGCAUUGGUGACUGCAUUGCUGGAGUAUGGCAGAGGGGGGUGGAAUUCCACGUGUAGCAGUGAAAUGCGUAGAGAUGUGGAGGAACACCGAUGGCGAAGGCAGCCCCCUGGGCCAAUACUGACGCUCAUGCACGAAAGCGUGGGGAGCAAACAGG
rnacentral:rRNA from 1 species